AAUCCAAUGGUCCUGUUUCAACAAAUAAGUGCCUGCAAAACAGAGGUUAGGAUUGUUCAAAAAACCUGAUCACGAGCCUCAGAGACAGCUAAAUUUACAAUAUAAUCGGUUUUAUUUGAGUUAAUAUAUGCCACGUAUACAAUUUCCAGGUGCAUGCGUAUCAAGCGUCAUACGAAGCCCGAGCAUCAUAUAUCUCCUAAAAAAAUAAAAAUAAAAAUCCAAGCGUUUCUCUCUUCCUCCCCCCAAAACCCAUCGUCUUCUGUCUAUCUCACCAAUUCCCAUUUCUCAUGUCUUUGAUAAUUCCAUCAGCAUCUGUUCUUCUUCCAUGGGCAUGGAAGCUUCCAGAACUCCCAUUCCGAUCUCAUCUCCACCGUCCGUAUCGACACUUCAUCUCCCGCAGCUUCUCCAAUGGAGCAAAGAGAUUUCCAAGUCCACUCCUCAGGAGAGAAAUUCCCAGGCUUCGAUGCUCCGAAUCCACCGAAAGUUCUUCUGAUGAAAGCGCAUCAGAAAAGAAAUUGGAGAUCAAGCAAUGGGAAUUUCUCCAAUCAUGGGAUGUUCCAUGGGAUUGGAAGGUUACUUUAUAUGUGAUGUUGCCAUACUUGCUGAGCAUUGUUUUCGCAGGGAUUGCCGGAACAACAGGAUUUACAAGAGCACUGCAACCUGAUUUUCAAAAUCUGCAGCCUCACUUACAGAACCCUGAUGAAGUCUCGAUGCGAUUGUUUAUUGAUCAAUUACUGAAAACAGUGGCCAAGCUUUCAAUUUUGUAUGUGCUUGUCAGUCCUUAUCGACCAUUACCGGAUGAUGUCUUCUCUUACAGAUGGGGCCAACCAUUUAAUCUUCAGCGUGGUUGGAUUGUAUGGAGUGGUGGGGGUUUAAUAAUUGCUUCAAGUGCUGUUUAUCUCGUGAAGGCUUUCAUAUCUGGUUCAAGUGCUGGCCAGAUGCAAAAUGAGGCAGAGUCUUUAGUGCGCUUGUUGCCGCUUUUUGGCCAAUCAAACACCAGCACUGUUUUUCUACUUGGCAUCUUAGGAGUUCUUGCACCAGUUUGUGAAGAAACAAUUUAUCGAGGUUUUCUGAUGACAUCUCUGACAAAAUGGUUACCUAUGCCCGCAUCAGUGGUUGUAAGUUCUGCUGUUUUUACUCUUGCACAUCAAUCUCCUGGGAAAUUUUUAGAGAUAUUCAUCUUUGGAAUGGUAUUGGGACUAGUGUAUGCUAAGACGCGGAACCUUCUCACUCCAAUAACCAUGCAUGCAUGCUGGAACUUGGGCGUUGUCCUCACGCUUACUUUUCUUCAAGGGCAAGGGUACGAAAUCCAAAAAUAUAUCCUAUGAUUGAAGAAGGUGCUGAUGCAGCAGCAAGUCUCCCGUUCUCGCAUUCUAUAUUCUUCAAGUCUUCAUCUCUGCCUGACCUUCCAUCUUUCGAACAAAAGCAUGCUCUCUAUCUGAUCUAUAUGAACAGAGGAAAAUCCAAGUAAUUCUCAAUCCAUGCUGACAGUAAUGGAUAUCUCGCCUCAACGAUUAUCUUCUGAUCAAUGAUUUCUUCAAGGACUUUGACCAUGUUUGCCAUCCAGCCGAGCAAAAUAUCUGCAAAUCCAAUCGUUGCCCCGCUGAAAAAUUUCUUUCCGAUGAGCGCCUCUUCUAAGGGUUUCAGGCUCUCUAUGGCUGGAGCAAUUGCUUCUUCUCGUUCCUUCCCUUGGGUGAUAAAAACUUGCCAAAUGGCUGCCAAACACUGUAAUAUAACAUGAUGUUAAAAACAUGGUAAGAAUUAUUAUUA